GAUGAACGCUGGCGGCGUGCCUAAUACAUGCAAGUCGAGCGAACGGACGAGAAGCUUGCUUCUCUGAUGUUAGCGGCGGACGGGUGAGUAACACGUGGAUAACCUACCUAUAAGACUGGGAUAACUUCGGGAAACCGGAGCUAAUACCGGAUGAUAUUUUGAACCGCAUGGUUCAAUAGUGAAAGACGGUCUUGCUGUCACUUAUAGAUGGAUCCGCGCUGCAUUAGCUAGUUGGUAAGGUAACGGCUUACCAAGGCAACGAUGCAUAGCCGACCUGAGAGGGUGAUCGGCCACACUGGAACUGAGACACGGUCCAGACUCCGACGGGAGGCAGCAGUAGGGAAUCUUCCGCAAAGGGCGAAAGCCUGACGGAGCAACGCCGCGUGAGUGAUGAAGGUCUUCGGAUCGUAAAACUCUGUUAUUAGGGAAGAACAUAUGUGUAAGUAACUGUGCACAUCUUGACGGUACCUAAUCAGAAAGCCGCGGCUAACUACGUG
rnacentral:rRNA from 1 species